CUGCAUUUUAGCCAGUGUACCUGGGCACAGACUCGGGGCUGCCCUGAAGCUGAUGAAGGCUUGAAGGACGGAAGGGCUGAGCCACAUGAAGGCAGCACUCAGGGCCAGGGGAGAGAGAAGAGGAUCAGCAGUGCAGCCCCAGGAUGCCUCGCAGCUCUCGGAAGAACUGGUUGUUAAAGAGCACCUCUGCCUUCUUCCUCUGUUGCCAUGUGAUCUCUGCACACGCUAGCUCUCCUUCGCCUUCUGCCAUGCUGGAAGUAGCCUGAGGCCCUCACCAGAAGCAGACGCUGGCACCGUGCUGCUUGUACAGCCUGCAGAGCCGUGAGCCAAGUAAACCUCUUUAAUUACCCAGCCUCAGGGCCAGACCCGAGGGUUUCUGAGCCGUGACUCUGGCUAAGCCCUUCACUGCUCUGGGCUGCAAAAGGAGGAUCACAGCACCUCCCGUGGGUGGGCAGGAUUACUUAAGAUGACGCAGGACAGCGCCCAGAGCAGCUUGGUGCUCCGGGAACGCCUUCCGCGGAAUGAAGCGGCCCAUGCCCUUGUUGACGUUGAUGUUUCCGUCUUCAAAGACGAUCUUGCCCUGGCUGAUGACCACUAGUGGGGAGCCGUGGCACUCCAUACCCUCGAAGAUGUUGUACUCCACCGCCUGCACCAACAGCCUCAGUGUUACUUCCCAGGAUUUGCUCUGCCCCAAACGAGCUGUUCAUAACAGCGAUUUUGCCUAACAUUAUAUCAUAAGCGUGUUCCAAUGUUUUUUUUUCUCUCUAAAAAUACCUUUUAUUGACUGUAAUAUUCCACUGUAUGGUCCACAGUGUAUAUAACCAACAACUCACCGUUGCGCAUGUAGGCUGCCGGUGGCUUUCUAUAAUCAAAUCAAUAUUGUUCUGGGGCAUCACAAAGAGGAAGGGGGUCCCCCGGGGUUAUGCAAUGUGGCUGCUUUGACUGUACUGGACAUAAAAAUAAGUAAAAUGUUCUUCAUUUUACUUAAAAUGUGUCUUUAAAUAAAAUUUUUUU
rnacentral:lncRNA from 1 species